GAUGAACGCUGGCGGCGUGCCUAAUACAUGCAAGUCGAGCGAAUGGAUUAAGAGCUUGCUCUUAUGAAGUUAGCGGCGGACGGGUGAGUAACACGUGAGUAACCUGCCCUUGACUCUGGGAUAACUGCUAGAAAUGGUCGCUAAUACCGGAUAUGACCCUCGGAGGCAUCACCAGGGGGUGGAAAGCAUUUCGGUCAAGGAUGGACUCGCGGCCUAUCAGCUAGUUGGUGAGGUAACGGCUCACCAAGGCGACGACGGGUAGCCGGCCUGAGAGGGUGACCGGCCACACUGGGACUGAGACACGGCCCAGACUCCUACGGGAGGCAGCAGUGGGGAAUAUUGCACAAUGGGCGCAAGCCUGAUGCAGCAACGCCGCGUGAGGGAUGACGGCCUUCGGGUUGUAAACCUCUUUUAGUAGGGAAGAAGCGAAAGUGACGGUACCUGCAGAAAAAGCACCGGCUAACUACGUGCCAGCAGCCGCCGUAA
rnacentral:rRNA from 1 species